GGAGAAGCUACAUAUCUGACCAGAGAAGGGACUUCAUUUACCGUCAGGUCGCAGGACUGAAAACUUCCAUUCAACAGCUGCCAGUGGCGUCUAAGCCGCCCUCCUACGCCGGGGCUACGGAACCAAUGAGGCUGAGGUGGAGGAGAGCCAAGAAGAGGCACUGGAAUUUAUAAUCAAACCUGAAGCGACUGGAGCCAAGUAGAGGAGAGUGGGAUGCUAUAAACCGAGCUGACACUAUCAGCAAAAGGACUCCAGCAGUUUCUAGAGAAACUACAACGUGCAGAGGGGGAAAAAGAUGGAACCCAUGAGCCAUACCUACCUCUACAACCUCUGCCAUUGCCUGCAGCUCCAGAAUCUUCACUUCCCUGGCUGGGCCCAGGGAAGUUUUGUGCUUAAUUUGGGACAACAGAACAGAGGAAAAAAGGACUUUUAGGAUCAGUGGGUCCAUUUCUGCAAAAUGGCAGAGGAACUAUUGAUACAGUUGCAUUGGAUAUGUAAAUCAUUGGGAUUCCCAGCUGAGGGAGCCAGUGACCUAAUUCUGCUCAGUUCUAAUGCAACACGGGAGUGAAUUCAGAAUAUCUCGGUACUGGCCUUGCUGGGAUUGCAGAACCCCAAAGUCAUUUUCCUGAUGCAGAGAUGCCACCAGAAUCAAACAGGCCACAAGUUUGCUAACCUGAAGGUCAAUCCUCUGUAAGAACUCCUGCAGAGUCUUGGGUUUUUCCUUUCCACUCCUUCGGUGUGCCUUUAUUUUCUUGGGGGCUGCUUCCUCUUCUGAGAUGACAUCCACAUAAAUAAAUUUGAAGUUUCCCACCUUAUUGUUCAGCAUUCCUGUCCACAUCCCCAUUGG